CAUAAAAGUUUUCUCCUAGCCUGUCAACGAUGUGAUCAUGGAAAACUCUGCUGCGAAUUGAAAACGGCACGAGGUCUGGCACGACUUGAACAAGAUUUCCUACCCACGUUGUCGUAGCAUUGAUGUUCUUCCGGUUUUAAUGAGAUCAAUUCAACGAGGACUUGAUCAUCCGGGGCGUUGUCAAAAGAUGGACCAUUUCAAGUAGCACAGAAACUCGAGUGCAUACAGGUGUGGACGUCACCAACGAACGCACACGACGGAAUCGAGGAGAAAAACAAGGUA